CGAGCGGAAACGACACUAACAAUCCUUCGGGUGCGUUAAUGGGCGUCGAGCGGCGGACGGGUGAGUAAUGCCUAGGAAAUUGCCUUGAUGUGGGGGAUAACCAUUGGAAACGAUGGCUAAUACCGCAUAAUGCCUACGGGCCAAAGAGGGGGACCUUCGGGCCUCUCGCGUCAAGAUAUGCCUAGGUGGGAUUAGCUAGUUGGUGAGGUAAUGGCUCACCAAGGCGACGAUCCCUAGCUGGUCUGAGAGGAUGAUCAGCCACACUGGAACUGAGACACGGUCCAGACUCCUACGGGAGGCAGCAGUGGGGAAUAUUGCACAAUGGGCGAAAGCCUGAUGCAGCCAUGCCGCGUGUAUGAAGAAGGCCUUCGGGUUGUAAAGUACUUUCAGUUGUGAGGAAGGGGGURNNGUUAAUAGCRNYAUCUCUUGACGUUAGCAACAGAAGAAGCACCGGCUAACUCCGUGCCAGCAGCCGCGGUAAUACGGAGGGUGCGAGCGUUAAUCGGAAUUACUGGGCGUAAAGCGCAUGCAGGUGGUUCAUUAAGUCAGAUGUGAAAGCCCGGGGCUCAACCUCGGAACUGCAUUUGAAACUGGUGAACUAGAGUACUGUAGAGGGGGGUAGAAUUUCAG
rnacentral:rRNA from 1 species